AACGAACGCUGGCGGCAGGCCUAACACAUGCAAGUCGAACGAUGUAGCAAUACAUAGUGGCGCACGGGUGAGUAACGCGUGGGAAUGUACCAUUUAGUGGGGAAUAACUUCGGGAAACUGAAGCUAAUACCGCAUACGCCCUUCGGGGGAAAGAUUUAUCGCUAAAUGAUCAGCCCGCGUGAGAUUAGGUAGUUGGUGGGGUAAUGGCCUACCAAGCCUACGAUCUCUAGCUGGUCUUAGAGGAUGACCAGCCACACUGGAACUGGGACACGGUCCAGACUCCUACGGGAGGCAGCAGUGGGGAAUAUUGGGCAAUGGACGCAAGUCUGACCCAGCCAUGCCGCGUGAAUGAUGAAGGCUUUAGGGUUGUAAAGUUCUUUCGCCGAUGAAGAUAAUGACGGUAGUCGGAGAAGAAGCCCCGGCUAACUUCGUG
rnacentral:rRNA from 1 species